rnacentral:rRNA from 1 species
UACGUAGGGGGCUAGCGUUGUUCGGAAUCACUGGGGCGUAAAGGGUGCGUAGGUGGCGUGGCAAGUCAGAUGUGAAAAGCCCCGGGGCUCAACCCCGGAAUUGCAUCCGAUACUGCCAUGCUAGAGUACUGAAGAGGUGACUAGAAUUCUCGGUGUAGCAGUGAAAUGCGUAGAUAUCGAGAGGAAUACCAAAGGCGAAGGCAGGUCACUGGGCAGUUUACUGACACUGAGGCACGAAGGCCAGGGGAGCAAACGGG